rnacentral:rRNA from 1 species
AGCAGCCGCGGUAAUUCCAGCUCCAAUAGCGUAUAUUAAAGUUGUUGCAGUUAAAAAAGACUCGUAGUUGAAUUUCGGGAUCAAUUGGUCGGUCGUGCCUCGGUACGUACUGGUCAAAUUGAUUCCUACCUUCUGACGAACCACGAUGUCAUU